GAGAAGGUAUCAAGACCUGCUAAUUCUUCCACCUGGUUCUAACACACCAGCCUUCUUU
rnacentral:tRNA from 1 species